CCUAACACAUGCAAGUCGAACGGUAACAGGAAGCAGCUUGCUGCUUCGCUGACGAGUGGCGGACGGGUGAGUAAUGUCUGGGAAACUGCCUGAUGGAGGGGGAUAACUACUGGAAACGGUAGCUAAUACCGCAUAACGUCGCAAGACCAAAGAGGGGGACCUUCGGGCCUCUUGCCAUCGGAUGUGCCCAGAUGGGAUUAGCUAGUAGGUGGGGUAACGGCUCACCUAGGCGACGAUCCCUAGCUGGUCUGAGAGGAUGACCAGCCACACUGGAACUGAGACACGGUCCAGACUCCUACGGGAGGCAGCAGUGGGGAAUAUUGCACAAUGGGCGCAAGCCUGAUGCAGCCAUGCCGCGUGUAUGAAGAAGGCCUUCGGGUUGUAAAGUACUUUCAGCGGGGAGGAAGGGGAUGAAGGUAAUAACCUCA
rnacentral:rRNA from 1 species